AACGAACGCUGGCGGCAUGCCUAACACAUGCAAGUCGAACGAGCCCUUCGGUGCUAGUGGCGCACGGGUGCGUAACGCGUGGGAAUCUGCCCUCUGGUUCGGAAUAACUCAGGGAAACUUGAGCUAAUACCGGAUAAUGACUUCGGCCCAAAGAUUUAUCGCCAGAGGAUGAGCCCGCGUCGGAUUAGCUAGUUGGUGAGGGAAAAGCUCACCAAGGCGACGAGCAGUAGCUGGUCUGAGAGGAUGAUCAGCCACACUGGGACUGAGACACGGACCAGACUCCUACGGGAAGCAGCAGUGGGGAAUAUUGGACAAUGGGCGAAAGCCUGAUCCAGCAAUGCCGCGUGAGUGAUGAAGGCCUUAGGGUUGUAAAGCUCUUUUACCCGGGAUGAUAAUGACAGUACCGGGAGAAUAAGCCCCGGCUAACUCCGUGCCAGCCGCCGCCGUAACAC
rnacentral:rRNA from 1 species